AUUGAACGCUGGCGGCAUGCCUUACACAUGCAAGUCGAACGGCAGCACGGGAGCAAUCCUGGUGGCGAGUGGCGAACGGGUGAGUAAUAUAUCGGAACGUGCCCAGUCGUGGGGAUAACGUAGCGAAAGCUACGCUAAUACCGCAUACUAUCUAUGGAUGAAAGCGGGGGAUCGCAAGACCUCGCGCGAUUGGAGCGGCCGAUAUCAGAUUAGGUAGUUGGUGAGGUAAAGGCUCACCAAGCCGACGAUCUGUAGCUGGUCUGAGAGGACGACCAGCCACACUGGGACUGAGACACGGCCCAGACUCCUACGGGAGGCAGCAGUGGGGAAUUUUGGACAAUGGGCGCAAGCCUGAUCCAGCAAUGCCGCGUGCAGGAUGAAGGCUUUCGGGUUGUAAACUGCUUUGUACGGAACGAAACGGUGAGCUCUAAUACAGUUUGCUAAUGACGGUACCGUAAGAAUAAGCACCGGCUAACUACGU
rnacentral:rRNA from 1 species